UAAGCCGGAAGGAAUACCCAUCACCCAUACAAGUUAAGUCAAUGAAGAUGACUGUCACCCCUAAACUUUUGGAGGUGAUCAAAGAGGCUCAAAUGAAAUCCUUAAAUGGUGAUCCGAAGAAGGAAAGAAUGAAAGGCCUGAUUGGGGAAUUAAAGAUGAAUGCUGAUGGCAUCAUGACCAGGUAUGACCGAAUCUGGGUACCUUGGUUAUCUGAAGUAAAAUCAUUAUUGCUAGAGGAGGCUCACAAAUCUCGUUAUACGGUACACCCUGGAGCUACAAAAAUGUAUCAAGAUUUAAAGAAAGGGUAUUGGUGGCCUGGAAUGAAACGUGACAUUGUUAAGUACGUGGCUAAGUGCAUGACGUGUUCCCAAGUGAAGGCGGAGCACCAAAAACCGUAUGGUAAAUUGCAAUCUUUAGAGAUACCAGUUUGGAAGUGGGAAGACAUAACCAUGGAUCUUGUUACAAAGCUUCCCAGAACGAAACGAGGUCAUGACGCGAUUUGGGUCAUAGUUGAUCGACUCACAAAGAGUGCUCACUUUCUACCCAUACGAGAAACUAUUUCAUCCGAGAAGUUGGCAGAAAUUUACAUGAAUGAAAUAAUUGUUCGUCACGGAGUACCCGUGUCUAUUGUGUCGGAUCGUGACACAAGAUUCACGUCUCGAUUUUGGCGAAAGUUUCACGAAGACGUGGGCACGAAUUUGCGAUUAAGUACCGCCUACCAUCCGCAGACGGAUGGACAGUCGGAAAGAACUAUACAAACGUUACUAGAUAUGUUGAGGGCUUGUGUCAUAGACCUUGGGGGUAAUUGGGACAACCAUUUACCGUUAGUAGAGUUCGCGUACAACAACAGUUAUCAAAGUAGCAUCAAAAUGGCGCCAUACGAAAUGUUGUACGGUAGAAAGUGUAGAACUCCUGUAUGCUGGGGAGAAAUCGGGCAACGGGAACUCGCGCCUAAAGAUGUUGUGGCAAUAACGAAUGAAAAGAUUGAUCAAGUCCGGGAUCGUUUGAAGGCGGCGCAAGACAGGCAAAAAUCCUAUGCCGAUAAAAGAAAACGCCCUAUCGAAUUUCAAGAAGGUGAUCGUGUGUUUUUAAAGGUCUCGCCGUGGAAGGGCAUAAUACGGUUCCGCAAACGGGGAAAAUUGGGUCCUCGGUACAUCGGGCCGUUCAGAAUAGUGUCUCGUGUUGGUAAAGUGGCAUACCGGUUAGAAUUACCUCCAGCUCUGGAGGGAAUCCAUAACACGUUUCACGUGUCUCAACUAAGAAAGUGCCUCGCGGAUGAUACAGCGCAUGUGUCACUAGAUGACAUUGAAUUGGAUGAUAAAAUGAAUUAUGUUGAAAAGCCGGUGGCUAUCAAAGAUUCCAAAAUGACGUACCUACGAAACAAAGCCAUGCGAAAAGUGUUAGUACAAUGGCAGCAUCGGAAAGGAUCGGAUCUAACCUGGGAAUCCGAAGAUGAAAUGCGAAAGCACUACCCGUCUCUUUUCGGUACGUAUUAAGGUUUCGGGGACGAAACCUCUUUUAAGGGGGGUAGAUUUGUAACAUCCCAUAAUUUAUAAAAUAGAAUUUUAUAAUACUUAAAAAUAAUUAUAUAUUUGGUUAUGACAUUAGUGUUAAAAACUUAAAGAAAGUUUAUAAAAUAUAGAAUGGGGUAUAAGGAAUCAAUAAACCCAACUUGAGGGCUGUUUGUGUAACAUUAGUAAAAAUGUGAAAUAAGAAAUCAAAACCCAGUAUUGGGUGGGGGUUGUGGAUCGCGACCAGGGGAAAGGAAAGGGGGGAAACCCUAUUUCAUUAGAAGAACUCCAAAUUUCAGCAAAUUAGUAGGGAUUCUUGGUUCAAUUCGAAUGCAUGUGUUAAAUACUCAAUAAUCCAAGUGUCUUGAACCUAAGGAACGAAAGAAGAAGGAGUUAGUUCCGGAUCACAAACAAAGACUCAAGAUCGAGGAAUCCGUAUCGGUCCAUAGUGAUUGGGUCGGUUCGGGUUCGAAUGAGAAGGAAUUUAAUGGAAGUUCUAUCCUUGAUCUGUGCUAAACGGAUUAUUGGAAGCGAAUGAGAAAGAGUUGUGUUAAUUGACUAGAAUAAAAGGGUAAAGCACCCGUAUGAUUGUCUUUGCGCCGCUCGGAUACGAACACACCUUGAUCACCCAUGAUGCGCUUCCGCAACCUUGUAGUAACCUUGUUAGUUUAAGGCUUUUGUCAAAGUUAGUAGUAUUGAAGUUUCAUGUUUUAAAUAGAUGUUGUGAAUACUUAAGUAACUUAAACUUGUUGUUUGAAACGGUAGUCUAAAUGUUAUGGUUUUUCGUAUGGUU